rnacentral:tRNA from 4 species
GCGAGGGUUGCCCAGCCAGGCCAAAGGCGAUAGGUUCAGGGCCUAUUCUCGUAGGAGUUCGAGGGUUCGAAUCCCUUCCCUCGCACCA